UACAACUUUCAACAACGGAUCUCUUGGCUCUCGCAUCGAUGAAGAACGCAGUGAAAUGCGAUACGUAAUGUGAAUUGCAGAAUUCAGUGAAUCAUCGAAUCUUUGAACGCACCUUGCGCCCCUUGGCAUUCCGAGGGGCACACCCGUUUGAGUGUCGUG
rnacentral:rRNA from 1 species